rnacentral:tRNA from 1 species
GGUGGCUCAGUGGUAGAGCACUUGCCUUGCAAGUGGCCCUGGGUUCAAUUCCUCAGCACCA